rnacentral:rRNA from 1 species
CCUUUCCGUAGGUGAACCUGCGGAAGGAUCAUUACCGAGUGCGGGCCCUCGCGGCCCAACCUCCCACCCUUGUCUCUAUACACCUGUUGCUUUGGCGGGCCCACCGGGGCCACCUGGUCGCCGGGGGACGCACGUCUCCGGGCCCGCGCCCGCCGAAGCGCUCUGUGAACCCUGAUGAAGAUGGGCUGUCUGAGUACUGUGAAAAUUGUCAAAACUUUCAACAAUGGAUCUCUUGGUUCCGGCAUCGAUGAAGAACGCAGCGAAAUGCGAUAAGUAAUGUGAAUUGCAGAAUUCCGUGAAUCAUCGAAUCUUUGAACGCACAUUGCGCCCCCUGGCAUUCCGGGGGGCAUGCCUGUCCGAGCGUCAUUUCUGCCCUCAAGCACGGCUUGUGUGUUGGGUGUGGUCCCCCCGGGGACCUGCCCGAAAGGCAGCGGCGACGUCCGUCUGGUCCUCGAGCGUAUGGGGCUCUGUCACUCGCUUCGGGAAAGGAACCUGCGGGGGUUUGGUUCACCCACCCAUGUUUUUACCCACGGUUGACCUCGGAACAGGUAGGAGUGAACGUGA